UGAAGAAUUGAAUGAGGAGGAAGAAGAAGAAAAAAGGAGAAACCGAGAGAAAAGUAAAAAUAUAGAGAGAGAACUUUUGGAAAGAAUUAUCAGAUAUUUGUCUAACUAAAUUAACUCCCCCAUUAACUAGGAUAUUUAUUAGUUGUUGAGUUGUGGCCUUAAUCUGAGACAUUGAUUAACUUCUAAUCUUAACGUCCAUUACAAUCCUCUUGCAAUCUGUGCCUACUUAUCCUCCACAUGAAUUAUUCUUAGCCACCCAGGUAUUCCCCCACUUUACUCUUUUAUUUCCAUUUUUCUCUAUUAUUCCUAAAUCAGUACAUAUGAUACUGUAACUCUAGAAUAAUUACAUUUUCCUCCCCUUCAAAUCAACUGUUUCCUUAAGGUUGUGUUUGAGAUAAGGAUCAUAGAAACCGACUACGGAUAAAACUCCAAUCAUCCUGGUGGCCACGUCGGUGUUGAGAUUAUUCCAGUGCACAUAAACUUGCACCAUAAUAGUGUUAUUACACUUGAUGUUGUGACGAAAAAGAAUAGACAAAGGUUAUGUGACCAUCAGAGUCGCAAGCCUAAGGAACUUGAUUGGAAGUGAUAUCAAGUCUAAUGCGACAUUUGAGCUAGGAUACCUAAAACACAAGGUGGAUCGGUGACCCCUGAGGAAGCUCUAAAUAGUUUUAAUGGAAUGAAAUAGUCAUGUUGCCUCUGUGGUAGUAGGGUACUGGGAUCUUGAAACACAUUCUCAAAUUCCUCCAGCUUUGAAUUUAAACUCAGGGAUACUCCAUUAUUGUUCGUAUCACGACUACCACUCAAAGCCCCAUCUUGAAGAUUAGUUGUUGCACCCAAAAUUCCAUCCUUCACCGGAGCCAAUCUCUCCAUGAACAUAUCCAACUUUCGACCUAGGUCAUUAAUACCAAACACAUAAACAGAAGUGAAAAAACAGGGACAAAUCAAAUUUGAUUUACAAUCAAACAGGCCUUUAUGGAGACGGAGCCAAUGUUGUGACUGUAAAUGUAAAUGCAAAUAAACCUCAAGUUUCAAAUCAAAUCAAUAUUAUUUUUUUUUGUUUAACUUUUUUUUUAAAUUUCUUUUUAUUCUUAAUCAAUAUUGCUCUUUGAUCAUUUUUUUUUUGUUUGGUUCGAAAUUAUCUUGACUGACUCUUCCAUUUGUUUUUUUUUUCCUGUCUCAACGCCAGCAAAUGAUAUUUGAUUAAGAAUUUUAAAAAAUGGAUAAGACAAAUUUCAAAAAAAUAAAUAAAUAAAAUUAUACCCCAAGGCUUACCAAACCGAAGGACAAAUUAUCCAAGCACCUCUACUAGUAUGAUACCUUCUCUAGUGUGCUAACCUUAGGCAUGUUUAAUGAACCUUUGGAUAAGUUAACUGAUCUACUUAGCAGUAAAUCCAUAGUAUUAGUGUUCGGGCUAUUAUACAAAAAUGUAAUUAUUAUUUUCACUUAACAUAUUGUUCUUCAAAAAAGUUAAUUAUUUUGAUCAAUUGUAUGAUUAACUGAAUUGGACUCCCCAAUUGUGUAAUCCAUGUACUGUGACAUCUCAUCUUGUCCUAAAGUUUAAAAACAAUAAAAAUAUGUUUUAACUUAAAAUGGUUCCGAAACACCAACAGGCUAAGUGAUUCUUGAGCAAAAAUAAACCAAAAAAAGAUUUAUAUAGGCGAUACCGAUUAGUUUUUAGGGGUGGUCGCAAUCAACAAUCCACCUUUUUUUGUCAUAAAGGAAACCAAAAUAGGUUUAAAGAUCGAUCCCAGCCUAGAUCCAAAGGGGGGCUUAACAGCUUGAACUUCUCUCGUUGGAACAAGGCUGCAUUAUACAAAGCUGUUAUGCGCAAUUGCAAA